UUUAUCCUGGGCUUUCAGUUGUACCCAAAAUGCAUUACUUGGUUCAUUACUCAGCUUAUAUUUACAGAUUUGGACCAAUGAUUCGGAGCUGGUGCAUGCAAUAUGAAGCAAAGCACAGUUACUUUAAAAGAUUGGCUUCAUACCUUGGAAACUUCACUAAUGUUGCGCUUAGCCUUGCUUAACGACAUCAAACCAGAAGUUGCUAUCUAGGAAAUCAACCCAUUGUAAAAAAGCCUAAAAUUGAUUCUGGAAAAGAAAUUGUUGCUAAGGAUAAUGAACAUUAUUAUUUGCUCAAAGAGAAGGAACCUAACUUAAGUGACAUUAGUAUUUUGUCAAGGUAAAGUACACAUAGUGAUUAUUUUUAUUACAGAAGAUGGUGACUAUUGCGAGAAAAAAUUGCUAGUACUUUAUAUAAUGAAACCAUGGCUGUAAUCUGACUCUUAGACAAUUUUAGAUCCAACCCAGAUCCUGUGGGUUUUGCACCCAUUAUGCGCUUAAUUUGCGUCUUAGUAAGCAUAAGCAAGUCAGGGCCGUC